rnacentral:lncRNA from 1 species
UAUAUGCAUGAGAGUUCUGUUAUUAAAAUAUCUCAAAUAUAAAAAAUUAAUUUAAAUGAGCUUAAGAAUCAAAAAAAAAAAAAAAAAAAACAAGAUAUUCCCUAGUUUGUGUAAUCUGACUUGCAUAAAUUUGAUUUUAUGUAAACUUCUUCCUCUAAUCUUUUUAUAAUCAAAAAAUAAAUAUACAGUAUAUUGAAUUUGCAAAUUACAUCUGCAAGAUACAAUUUACUCUGCUGAUGUUUUCUCCCUUGUAGUUGCUUUUGAUAAAAGCAAUUUUUUUCCAUAAAUCUGCAAAGGCAUAAUGAUAUUUAAAUAAAUUUUUAAUAUUUUCAUUUAUAACUUUACAUUAGGUUUAUCUACUAUUACUGUCAAUUAUAAAUUCAUGUAUAAGCUGAGGAUUUUUUCCCAGAAAACAAUUUUUGAAGAAGGGAGGCUGCUUAUACAUAGGCCACUCAAAAAUCAGAAAAUUUUAUGCAAGAUUGUGAGAUUUGCUGAUUCAAUCAUGCUGCAUUCCCAUUGUGCUUUCAUGCCAACCACAUGCUCUGCCAUAUUUAUUCCUAACAAAAACAUUAUCUUACUGAUUGUUUUGAUUUUAAAUAUAUGGAUAUAUAUGACUGUAGAGAAAUUAGUAUUCUUGUUGGUAAUUAAAUAUUGAAUAGUGCAUAAAUACAUCCAAAAAUAUAUGAAUGGUGGUGAUGUGUCCUCUUUGCACUAGUAGUGUAUGCUAGCAGUUAGAUAACUGCUAGCAUAGGAUGCACUUUAUUUAUUUCUAAAAAUGCCUAUUUACUUCUCAAUUAUUAAAAAUAUGCAAAUGUAUGUGAAUGUUUUAUUUAAAUAAAUUCAAAAAUAUUAAUUUAUUAAGUGCUUCAUAAAUAAAAUUAGGAACAUGUAGAUCAAUCUUUUAUAAUAAGUAAACAUGGCUGCUACUAUUGCAGGU